rnacentral:rRNA from 1 species
CAGCCGCCGCGGUAAAACGGAGGGUGCAAGCGUUAAUCGGAAUUACUGGGCGUAAAGCGCACGCAGGCGGUCUGACAAGUCAGAUGUGAAAUCCCCGGGCUUAACCUGGGAACUGCAUUUGAAACUGUCAGGCUGGAGUCUUGUAGAGGGGGGUGGAAUUCCAGGUGUAGCGGUGAAAUGCGUAGAGAUCUGGAGGAAUACCGGUGGCGAAGGCGGCCCCCUGGACAAAGACUGACGCUCAGGUGCGAAAGCGUGGGGAGCAAACAGGAUUAGAUACCCCAUAGUCCCUGUCUCUUAUACC